rnacentral:rRNA from 1 species
UACGUAGGGUGCGAGCGUUGUCCGGAAUUACUGGGCGUAAAGAGCUCGUAGGUGGUUUGUCGCGUUGUUCGUGAAAACUCACAGCUUAACUGUGGGCGUGCGGGCGAUACGGGCAGACUGGAGUACUGCAGGGGAGACUGGAAUUCCUGGUGUAGCGGUGGAAUGCGCAGAUAUCAGGAGGAACACCGGUGGCGAAGGCAGCACUCUGGUACGUGACUGACGCUGAGACGCGAAAGCGUGGGGAGCAAACAGG